GCCACCUUAGCUCAGUUGGUAGAGCGCCCGCCUUGUAAGCGGACGGUCGCGGGUUCGAGUCCCGCAGGUGGCU
rnacentral:tRNA from 2 species